rnacentral:rRNA from 1 species
AUUGAACGCUGGCGGCAUGCCUUACACAUGCAAGUCGAACGGCAGCACGGGAGCAAUCCUGGUGGCGAGUGGCGAACGGGUGAGUAAUGUAUCGGAACGUACCUUUCAGUGGGGGAUAACGUAGCGAAAGUUACGCUAAUACCGCAUAUUCUGUGAGCAGGAAAGCAGGGGAUCGCAAGACCUUGCGCUGAUUGAGCGGCCGAUAUCAGAUUAGCUAGUUGGUGAGGUAAAGGCUCACCAAGGCGACGAUCUGUAGCGGGUCUGAGAGGAUGAUCCGCCACACUGGAACUGAGACACGGUCCAGACUCCUACGGGAGGCAGCAGUGGGGAAUUUUGGACAAUGGGCGGCAAGCCUGAUCCAGCCAUGCCGCGUGAGUGAAGAAAGGCCGCGUGUAGUAGUACGUUCUAC